rnacentral:SRP_RNA from 1 species
GCUGGGCGCGGUGGCACGUGCCUAUAGUCCCAGCUACUCAGGAGGCUAAGGCUGGAGGACUGCUUGAGUCCAGGAGUUCUGGGCUGUAGUGUGCUAUGCCAGUAGGGUGUCCCCACUAAGUUCGGCAUUAAUACAGUGACCUCCCAGGAGCGGGGAACCACCAGGUUGCCUAAGGAGGGGUGAACCAGCCCAGGUUGGAAACAGAGCAGGUCAAAACUCCUGUGCCGAUCAGUAGUGGGAUCGCGCCCAUGAAUAGCCACUGCACUCCAGCCUGGGCAACAUAGCAAGACCCCAUCUCU